GGGGAAGACACCGCUGUGACCUUAGGAGAGAGGCAGCCAGGGCUGAGUCAGCCUCUGCAGCAGAGCCUGGGGGACAGGAGCAUCUUUCGAUGAAUCAGCCCCACCAUGCCUGGUGACAGACAUGCUUUACCUCUGAUCAUUCCACCAUUUUGGCACCUAACAAGCAGGGAGAGGCGGAGCAGAGCAGGCAAGAGAACAAAGAAUAUUUUGCGGGAGCCGGAGGCAACUGAGGACCUCUGCGGAGUGACAGGCAGACAGAAGCAGGCAGGACGGGGGGGGUAAGGAGGAAAUGAGUAAAUAUGUAUGAGUGAAGCACUAGGAACAGCGCGUGGCCCUGCGGAUAACAGAAUAUUGAAGAACUGAUACCACACAGGUUACAGCCAGCUAACAAAGUUAACAACCAGUGCUGCAGCUGCAGCCCAGCCCACCCAGCACCAUUAGCACUCUGGCAGAAACCACAUCUACUCUGUCCUCACCACUGCCACCCCGCUUCCCAGCACAAUGCCUGACACUUCGUGGGAGGCCAAAAACUAUUUGUUGAAAGAGCAAAUAAAUGAAGGAAUCAAGUGUAACCCUCUUAGAGCCUGGCCAUUUCGCCUCCUCCUUGAAGUCAACCUCAGCAUGAGUCACAUUCACAGAAACAUUCAUCUCAUACCCAGAGAUCAUCAAAAGACCAGCUGAAGGCUUUUCUGCAGUCCUUGAGAGAAUGCCAAAAGGUGGGGUUGCAUUCACCGCUCAGGAAACAGCUCAAAAUCCUUCCACUCUCGCUCUUGCCUGCUCCAGCCUCUCGGGAAAAGGGCCAGUCUGCUACUCCAAGAGAACACGCGGACUGAAGUGCUGUCCACGCGGUGUUCAGAUGGGGCUCUGGAGGCCAUGCCAUGUGAUCCCUCGGUGAGGAAAGGAUUCCCUGGCCAGCCAUGGGGAAUAUGAACUCCUGAAGAUGAACAAGAGCUCUCAGCCCCCUCCCCCAGGCCCACCCAGCUGUCCUGAGGUCCCCUUGGAAGAGACCAAAAGAGAAGAAGCAACAGGGGGCCAGAGACCCCCAGGCCCCCAACCACCAUAUACCACAUAAACCAACUGAUGAGGAAAGAAGGUCCUAAUACAGGCACUUCCCCUUUCAUUCUUGAUAAACUCAGAGUCCAAACAGCCCUCACAGAAUGACUGCAAUGUCAGGGAACUGAAAAAGAAGAGCUUACUCUCUCCCUUCAAUAAGUUUCUUCCCUUCUCUGAGCCUCAGUUUUCUCCAUCUGUAAAAGGGCUGCUAAACUUCCUUCCAGCUGGAAACCAAGAUGGCGGUCUUGGCAAACCUGGCACAGCAAGAAAAAUUGGCCUAGGGCAUAGGCAGGAGGAGUUAGAGAGACAGCCAAGUCUUCCUUUGAGUCAGUCAGAAAGACAAGAAGGCUUUUUUUUUUUUUUUUUUUUGAGAUGGAGUCUUGCUCUGUUGCCCAGGCUGGAGUGCGGUGGCGCACUCUCGGCUCACUGCAACCUCUGCCUCCCGGGUUCAAGUGAUUCUCCUGCCUCAGCCUCCCGAGUAGCUGGGAUUACAGGUGCGCACCACCACAUCUGGCUAAUUUUUGUAUUUUUAGUAGAGACGGGGUUUCGCUACGUUGGCCAGGCUGGUCUCAAACUCCUGACCUCUGGUGAUCCACCAGCCUCGGCCUCCCAAAGUGCUGGGAUUACAGGUGUGAGCCACCACACCUGGCCAAGAAGGCUCUUACAUGACCGAAAAGCUUAGGACAGAUUUUAUCAAAAUGUUUGUAUUAUAGGAAUGCCUCUAGAUCGAGGUCUUAACCAGAAGUGAUCUCUCCCAUGGCCCUCAGGGUAGUUUACCUUAUCUCUCGAAGACACACCUGUAGGCUGUGUUGUAUUAAUUAUAUGUCUGAUCUCCUUGAGAAAGCUGUAAAGAUCCCUGUGGUCAGGAAAUACACUCAUUUUUGUGUCCCUGGUACCGUAUCCUAUGUGCUAAUGAACACUCAUUAAAUGUCUGCUGACUUGAGUUAAAAAAAGAAACAAAAACCACUUGCUGUGUGAUGUUGAGCAAGUUUCUUAACCUCUCUGAGCUUCAGUUUUCUCAUCUGUAAAACAAGAAUUUAAAAUGUACCUGCCUCUAGGGUCAUUUGAAGGAUUAGUAAAGUCACACACAUAAGGGG
rnacentral:lncRNA from 10 species